rnacentral:rRNA from 1 species
AGUGAACGCUGGCGGCAGGCCUAACACAUGCAAGUCGAGCGGCAGCGCGGGGGCAACCCUGGCGGCGAGCGGCGGACGGGUGAGGAAUUCGUCGGAAUCUGCCUUUUUGUGGGGGAUAACGUAGGGAAACUUACGCUAAUACCGCAUACGUCCUACGGGAGAAAGUGGGGGACCGCAAGGCCUCACGCAGAAAGAUGAGCCGACGACCGAUUAGCUAGUUGGUGGGGUAAAGGCCCACCAAGGCGACGAUCGGUAGCUGGUCUGAGAGGAUGAUCAGCCACACUGGGACUGAGACACGGCCCAGACUCCUACGGGAGGCAGCAGUGGGGAAUAUUGGACAAUGGGCGCAAGCCUGAUCCAGCCGUGCCGCGUGUGAGAAGAAGGCCUUCGGGUUGUAAAGCACUUUUGUCCGGAAAGAAAUCCCUGGAGCUAAUACCUUCGGGGGAUGACGGUACCGGAAGAAUAAGCACCGACUAACUUCGUG